UAAAUGUGCACUUGUGGUUCCCAAAUAAUGAUUUAAUAUCAGUUUUAUGUUUUGAGAGUGUUAAAUGUGUUGAUAUUUAUAUAAAGUUCUGUGACUUUUUAAUGCACAGAAAGCGUACGUUACAUUUUUAGUUAUUAACUAUAUUAUCAGUGCCGAAAUGGCGCAAUUUCGUCAUGCACGGUUCAAGCGCAGCCAUUUGAUAAAUAUUCUAAGUACGGAUCCAAAAUUACACAAGAAGCAUAAGCUUAAGUUAAUCUAUGCUUUAACUUAAUAGUUUUACCUAUUUUCUUACAAAGAAAGAAUCAUUUUGAGUCGAGGACUACCAUGUUUUUGUCAGCGUUUGACGUUUCAUUUCUGUUCCGGAUUAGAAUAUUUACUUCCGGUAAUUUAAAAUAAAUACUAGUGCAAAGGUCAAAUUCCUCAGUCUUUGCUGUUUACAUUUUGGCAUAUUGCAAAGAUCCCGGGUGGUUCCUUUAGAGGUAAGAAGCAGCGCAUUAGCUGUUUGCCUCGCAUGGUCUAAAUUAUCUAGUUUACAUAUAUCGUUUGGCAAUUCCUUGUCCUAGUUUCAAAAAACACAUGCGAAAUAAUAUUAUUAUUGAGAUCAGCUCCGCCUAUUUAUGCAAAUUUACAUGACAAACUAUUUAUAAGACAAGUAUCUUGAGAAAACGUACGGAAUUACAUGUUAUAUAUUUUACAAUAGUUUAUUCUGUACAUUGUUGAAUUGUGCCGUAAUAAAUAUACUAUUUUACUACGAAUUAUUCAUUCACGCUACCAAGAGAGAACAGAC
rnacentral:lncRNA from 1 species